UACGUAGGUGGCAAGCGUUGUCCGGAAUUAUUGGGCGUAAAGGGCGCGUAGGCGGUCACGCACGUCCGUUGUGAAAUCGCUCGGCUCAACUGGGGAGGGUCACUCGAUACUGAUCGACUGGAAGGCAGGAGAGGGAAGCGGAAUUCCCGGUGUAGUGGUGAAAUGCGUAGAUAUCGGGAGGAACACCAGUGGCGAAGGCGGCUUCCUGGCCUGUUCUUGACGCUGAGGCGCGAAAGCUAGGGGAGCAAACGGG
rnacentral:rRNA from 1 species